AUGGCGCACUCUGGCGGACAAGUCAGAGAAGACCUGAUCGUCGACGCGCUGUCGUGUUUUAGCUGUUUAUUUAUUUUAAUUUUUUAAAUAAAUGGCUUUUAGAAUACUUUCCAGAGUCUGUACACUGAGUCACGGACUGAAAUCCUCUCAGACCGCCUUCAGUACGUUAAGCUCCGCCGGCAGUUUAAAGGUUGAACAUGACCGACGUAACCAGCGCUUCACGGUCACCGCAGGCAGCAGUACUGCGGACCAUGAAUGUGGGGUGCUGAAAUACAGAUUCACUGGGGAGAAGGAGGUGGACCUGAUGUCUACCUUCGUACCCGAGACAUACAGGGGCCAUGGUGUUGCAGCUCUGCUGUCGAGGGCUGCGCUGGACUUUGUGGUUGAAGAGAACUUAAAGGCUCAUGUCUCCUGCUUGUACAUAAAGAAGUAUGUUGAAGAACAACCAGAGCAGAGAUAUAAAGAGUUUGUCAUCACUUGACUGCAGCUUCUAUGGCACCUACAUGCUGUAUGUCUGUGAAGGUUCUCAGUCAUCCAGGUCUUCAUAGUUUAAGGAGUCCAGACGCUUUUCUUUCCAAGCUCCUUAGACUACAUACUGUAAUUCUACCUCUAAUUAACUACACUCGCACAGUGUGCAAUGUACAAGUGAGAAAUCUCACAUCAAUGUAAUUCAAUGUACAUUUAAACAAUUUUAAAUGUAAUGUGGACUAUAUUUGGAUAAAAUAACCAAAAAUAUAAUUAAACCAAUGGGUUGAAGGUGAUAUUUGUAUUAUAAUAAGAACAGUUUAACAGAUAAACUGUGAUUCUUUUAAAAAUAUCAGACUGUGUGCAUGCAUGACUGAAUUUUCUACCAAUAAAAUUCAUUAAAAUGUAAUUAAAAACCUUUGUUAUACUAUACAAGCGUAUCACUAUAUUAUACAUGCAGAAUUAUGUAGUUGAUAUGUAGAGUAAAUAAUACAACUGCUAUGUUAUUUUUAUAUUAAAAAGCUUACAUAAAGGGACAUCUGCUCAUUUCCACAUGUAUAUUUAUUCCUGGACCCCACUAGAGUAGCUUUGCAUGAGUCACAGUUCAAAAUAAGUUUUAUUUAUCUCGUACUAGGCUUUGGUGUGACCCCUGACUUCAUGCUCUGUUUGAAAGAAGCUU